UCCUCUAUUUAAAGAGCCUCCUUGGUGCCACUUUCCCACAACACACUGAAAGCAAAGGCCAGAAGUACUAGUGAGCACAAGAAAUUAAGCAAUUAAAUUAACAACGAGAGUUAUACAUAGCUAGCUAGAACAUCUAUAUAGCCAUCAUGUCAGGGCAGAGAAGGUCAUCAAGAGCUUCAAAGUUCACUGAGAAUGAGAUUAAUGAACUUGUGUCUAGGUUACAAGUUCUGCUUCCGCAAGUCAACCAAAGAGGAAACUCGAGGCAAUCAGCGUCCAAGAUUUUGCAGGAAACUUGUUGUCAUAUUAGGAGGCUGCAGGAAGAGGUGGAACAGCUCAGUGAGAGGCUAUCAGAGAUCCUGGAUUCUGCGGAUAUCAGUGACAUUGACCGAAGAACUUUACAAAACUUUCUGCAACAAUAUUAACAAAUAUGGUCCCUCUUCUACAGUGAUCCAUACCUUGUCUCCCUUAUAUAUGUUUGUUACCCAGUGUAGGUUGUAACGGAGCCUUAAUUUCCAAGCAUACAUUAAUAACACACCAUAUGUUGGAAUAACAGUUUCUUGUGAUCAAAUUAAUUGCUUUGGCUUUGUCCAUGCAUGGAAUCGAGAGCACUUGAAACGUUUGAUGGGAAAUUAUUAAUAUAUAUCUUUUCGAUCUUUUGAUUUAUUUGUAUGUGAUAUAUAUUUGAAUGCCGAGAAUCAGUUUUAAGUGUUGAA